GAUGAAGAACGUAGUGAAAUGCGAUAAGUAAUGUGAAUUGCAGAAUUCAGUGAAUCAUCGAAUCUUUGAACGCACCUUGCGCCCUUUGGCCAUUCCGAAGGGCAUGCCUGUUUGAGUAUCAUGAACACCUCAACUCUUCAUGGUUUUCCAUGAUGAGCUUGGACUUUGGGGGUCUUGCUGGCCUGUGGGUCGGCUCCUCUCAAAUGAAUCAGCUUGCCGGUUUUUGGUGGGCAUCACAGGUGUGAUAACUAUCUACGCUUGUGGUUUUCCACCAGGGUAACCUUCAGCAGUGGAGGUUCACUGGAGCUUACAAAUGUCUCUCCUCUGUGAGGACAGCCCUUUGAAUGUUUGAUCUCAAAUCAGGUUGGACUACCCGCUGAACUUAAGCAUAUCAAUAAGCGGAGGA
rnacentral:misc_RNA from 1 species